AUUGAACGCUGGCGGCAGGCCUAACACAUGCAAGUCGAACGAGUGGCGGACGGGUGAGUAAUGUCUGGGAAACUGCCUGAUGGAGGGGGAUAACUACUGGAAACGGUAGCUAAUACCGCAUACCAUCGGAUGUGCCCAGAUGGGAUUAGCUAGUAGGUGGGGUAACGGCUCACCUAGGCGACGAUCCCUAGCUGGUCUGAGAGGAUGACCAGCAACACGGGAACGGAGCCACGGUCAAGAGUCCUACGGGUGGAAGCAUUGGGGAACAUUGCAAAAUGGGCGAAAGCCUUAUGCAUCAAUGCCGCGUGUAUGAAGAAGGCCUUCGGGUGGUAAAGUACGUUCAGCGGGGAGGCGUUACCCGCAGAAGAAGCACCGGCUAACUCCGUGCCAGCAGCCGCGGUAAUUC
rnacentral:rRNA from 1 species